rnacentral:rRNA from 1 species
UACGUAGGGUGCGAGCGUUGUCCGGAAUUAUUGGGCGUAAAGAGCUCGUAGGCGGUUUGUCGCGUCUGCUGUGAAAACCCGAGGCUCAACCUCGGGCCUGCAGUGGGUACGGGCAGACUAGAGUGCGGUAGGGGAGAUUGGAAUUCCUGGUGUAGCGGUGGAAUGCGCAGAUAUCAGGAGGAACACCGGUGGCGAAGGCGGGUCUCUGGGCCGUAACUGACGCUGAGGAGCGAAAGCAUGGGGAGCGAACAGG